ensembl:lncRNA
CCUUAAUAGGCAGACAGAAGCACUCAGCAGUUUGUAGAAACUCCAGUCCGUAGUCAGGGAUGUAAAGAAAAUGAAAACUGGAAAACUGCAAGCUUUUGAAAUGCAGGUGUGAAUAUGAAGUCUGAAGGACAGCCUGAGGCUUGGCAUCUUGAGCCCAGUUUUGAGGCUUGUUUUCCAUGGGCUCAGGAGUUAGUAAUUUAGGAGGUUCCUAUUCAGAAACUCAAACUGGGAGUGGACUGAUGAGGAGAACUGGAAAUGCUGCUCUAGGCCAGCUAAAGGUAUUCAUCUAAAAUGUCUAGGAGAGGAGUGGAUGAGGGUACACGUAAACAGGGGUACUGAGAGUCCUGAGGCAUGCAGUACUACCUCAUCAGCAGUGCUAAUCACUGCCUUUACUGCUCUGCCUUCAAAUCCCCUCACAGCAUCCAAUGCCACCUCUACAAAGCUGUGUUGUAAACAUGUUCCUCCAAAACUCUGGUAUCUGCCAAGAUCGCACAAGAAUAGUCACACUAAUGGUUCAUUAUAAAGCUCUAAUAUGUAUUUGAUGACAACACUUUUUCUGCAAUGUCCAUUGGUGUUUUAAUAGCCUUAAUAAUAGCACAUAGUAAUGGCAUUACUACUUGCCUGUGUAACACCCACCUUCACUAUGUUAUGCCAGCAAUAACUAAUGAACGCACAUUUUAGGAAAUUCAUCCACCUAGGUAUGGCUUCUCAGAGUAGGGUUUUAACCCCAGGGAAAAGAGAUGUGAGUUCAGGGUAGGUAAGAGAGAGAUUUGAUGUUCUUUUGGAGUCAUAUAUCAGCUUCCAGAUUGUGCUGAUGCAGAAAGCAGCUUAAAAAAAAUAUAGUUCCACCUGGGCUAUUCCUGUGCCUGCUGCUCCAGACUCAGCCAAGAACAGAAGACUUGCUGCACAAGCCAAGCUGCCAAGAGGAUGAAGGAUCAGAAACGUGGUGUUUUGAUGGGUUGUUCGUAAGUCCUAACUGCAGAAAUCCUCAAAAAUCAGAAGAACAGAAGUCUAUGACAAUAGUUAAUAAGUCACUUCAAAACACUGAGGAAUUCACAUAUAGCUGAGACUUGGUUUUCUGCAGGGAGACAGUACGGUGUACCAUGUGAAAACUCAUCAGACAUGGAAGAGGCACCCAUCAAGGUCUCAAGAGUCUUGCAGUGUAAUUCCCUGGUAGACACCCAGCUCAGUGCAAGGCUAUAGAAACCAAAGGAAGCUUAAAGUUGAUUUCAUAUAGCUUUGGCUCAGACUAUCAGCUUUCCUCUGAUCUUAAUUCUUUAUAUUAUUAUUUUCAUGUGCUACUACUAAGAGAUGUUUAACCUCACAAAACAUCAAAGAAUCACAAAUCAGACUGUAAUAAAAGAAGGCAUAUUUGUUAUACUUAAAGCAUCCAUUCUUGUGAAUAUACAGAGAUUAGUAAAUUUUGUCACUAUCAUUUAAUGAGUAAAAUAAUAUAAAUUGAUCUCUAAUUAUCUCCAGAGAAGAAGCCUACAGCUGCAAUAAUUUUAGUUUUGUUACCGGUUGCUGCAUUAUGUUCUACAUAUCAUGUGUAACAGUUUUAACUAGGCUGCUGAUGAGAGCCAAGGCACAGAUUCUCAGGGCUGUUUAGGUUCCUAAUUUCUGCAACAAUCUAUGAAGUAAUUCAGUCACUACAGCUCUUGGUUUUGGCAUGCCUAAACCUGAAGAGCAUUGACACCAGAGAGGAACUCACAAUCCGAAGCUUAAGUAGUUUCACUUUUUAUUGGAUGCUCUAUGACAGUUAAGUCCCAGGGCAGAAAAUUGCAAUACUAGCACAUCACUGGAGCACUGUGAUACACAGGCCAUAGGAAUAACAAAGAAAAAAAAAAAGUAGAAAUCCAAAAAGUUAUAAAACUGAAAUCAUAAACAUUUCUUACAGGAGGAGAGAGGUGGUCUGAUCUUAGAGAAGCAGGUAAUAGGAAUUGAUACCUCUUCUCACAUAACCUGAAUCUCAAAAGGAGAGGGAUGCUAGCAGAAGAGUCAUAAGCUGGUUCAGUUAUUCCAAUGAGAACAGGUUCAGCAUGUAUGUAGGGUAACGUGCUCUGGUUUGGAAAAUAC